rnacentral:misc_RNA from 1 species
GAAAUGCGAUAAGUAAUGUGAAUUGCAGAAUUCAGUGAAUCAUCAAAUCUUUGAACGCACAUUGCGCCCCUUGGUAUUCCGAGGGGCAUGCCUGUUCGAGUGUCAUGAUACCGCUCAAGCUCCGCUUGGUGUUGGACCCUCGCCCCAUAUCGAUUGGGGCAAGCGGGUCUCAAAUAUAUUGACAACUUAGUCUCCACUCCAGUGUCGUUAAUUAUCAUGCUGUGGAUGUGUGGAUCAUCAAAGUUGGUUUAAGAAGUUUUAAUCAUGGAUGACCUCGAAUCAGGUAGGGAUACCCGCUGAACUUAA